ACAGAGGUAAGGAAAUUAAAAUUAAAAAGAAAACUUACCACCGAGAGGGAGAGGAACUCCUUCAACCGAUCAGCAUUCAGAGGCAUAUCGUUGCUCCUGAUUUGACAUCACUUAUCUUCCCGAUUGUGGCCAGAACUCAAGCCACCUGGUGAGCUACUAUGCUGAUCGGCCUGGUGUCAAAAGAAGCGGCCAUCUUCCUCUGCUGUGUCAGCCAUUCAGCACAUCAACGGCUGUGAUGUUGUGCAUGUGUUUGGAUGGCUGAGAUGCUGAGAUGCUGAGUCGAUUCAGAUAAAAGGCUCCACUUCUCUUUAAAGUUUCGUUUUGCUUUAAUCCAGAACGAAAACACCGGCAAAAGAGUGUAUUAGGUGUGAAGUAGAAAUCCAAAACUGCAACCAGAAAGGUUACAGAGCACCAGAACAGAACGUGUGUUCUGUGUGCGUGUCCGAGGAGGAAAAUUCUUCUUCUUGGUGAGGUAAGCCGUUUCUUAUUCUUUUAAAUUAUUUAUUUUAGUUCUUUGAUGUCCUAAGGUUACUCUUGUUUAGGAAUUCCAGCUUCCAAAUUAUUGUACCUAGCUUCAGAAACUAAAACAGAAAUCACCACACCUUAACGGCGACUCUACUCGGGUAAGUGGUUAAUCUUCAUUUUGACUCC
rnacentral:lncRNA from 1 species